GACGAACGCUGGCGGCGUGCUUAACACAUGCAAGUCGAACGGAAAGGCCCUGCUUUUGUGGGGUGCUCGAGUGGCGAACGGGUGAGUAACACGUGAGUAACCUGCCCUUGACUUUGGGAUAACUUCAGGAAACUGGGGCUAAUACCGGAUAGGAGCUCCUGCUGCAUGGUGGGGGUUGGAAAGUUUCGGCGGUUGGGGAUGGACUCGCGGCUUAUCAGCUUGUUGGUGGGGUAGUGGCUUACCAAGGCUUUGACGGGUAGCCGGCCUGAGAGGGUGACCGGCCACAUUGGCACUGAGAUACGGCCCAUACACGUACGGGAGGCAGCAGUGGGUAAUAUUGCACAAUGGGCGGAAGCCUGAUGCAGCAACGCCGCGUGCGGGAUGACGGCCUUCGGGUUGUAAACCGCUUUCGCCUGUGACGAAGCGUGAGUGACGGUAAUGGGUAAAGAAGCACCGGCUAACUACGU
rnacentral:rRNA from 1 species